AUUGAACGCUGGCGGCAUGCUUUACACAUGCAAGUCGAGCGGCAGCGCGGGGCAACCUGGCGGCGAGCGGCGGACGGGUGAGUAGAGCAUCGGAACGUAUCCCGUAGUGGGGGACAACCCAGCGAAAGCUGGGCUAAUACCGCAUAUGCUCUACGGAGGAAAGUGGGGGACUCGCAAGGGCCUCACGCUAUGGGAGCGGCCGAUGUCCGAUUAGCUAGUUGGUGGGGUAAAGGCCCACCAAGGCGACGAUCGGUAGCUGGUCUGAGAGGAUGAUCAGCCACACUGGGACUGAGACACGGCCCAGACUCCUACGGGAGGCAGCAGUGGGGAAUUUUGGACAAUGGGGGCAACCCUGAUCCAGCCAUGCCGCGUGCGGGAAGAAGGCCUUCGGGUUGUAAACCGCUUUUGUCUGGGAAGAAAAGGCCUCGUCUAAUACACGGGGUUCUUGACGGUACUGGAAGAAUAAGCACCGGCUAACUACGUGCCAGCAGCCGCCGUAAUAC
rnacentral:rRNA from 1 species